GACGAACGCUGGCGGCGUGCCUAAUACAUGCAAGUCGAACGAACUCUGGUAUUGAUUGGUGCUUGCAUCAUGAUUUACAUUUGAGUGAGUGGCGAACUGGUGAGUAACACGUGGGAAACCUGCCCAGAAGCGGGGGAUAACACCUGGAAACAGAUGCUAAUACCGCAUAACAACUUGGACCGCAUGGUCCGAGUUUGAAAGAUGGCUUCGGCUAUCACUUUUGGAUGGUCCCGCGGCGUACUAGCUAGAUGGUGGGGUAACGGCUCACCAUGGCAAUGAUACGUAGCCGACCUGAGAGGGUAAUCGGCCACAUUGGGACUGAGACACGGCCCAAACUCCUACGGGAGGCAGCAGUAGGGAAUCUUCCACAAUGGACGAAAGUCUGAUGGAGCAACGCCGCGUGAGUGAAGAAGGGUUUCGGCUCGUAAAACUCUGUUGUUAAAGAAGAACAUAUCUGAGAGUAACUGUUCAGGUAUUGACGGUAUUUAACCAGAAAGCCACGGCUAACUACGUGCCAGCAGCCGCGGUAAUACGUAGGUGGCAAGCGUUGUCCGGAUUUAUUGGGCGUAAAGCGAGCGCAGGCGGUUUUUUAAGUCUGAUGUGAAAGCCUUCGGCUCAACCGAAGAAGUGCAUCGGAAACUGGGAAACUUGAGUGCAGAAGAGGACAGUGGAACUCCAUGUGUAGCGGUGAAAUGCGUAGAUAUAUGGAAGAACACCAGUGGCGAAGGCGGCUGUCUGGUCUGUAACUGACGCUGAGGCUCGAAAGUAUGGGUAGCAAACAGGAUUAGAUACCCUGGUAGUCCAUACCGUAAACGAUGAAUGCUAAGUGUUGGAGGGUUUCCGCCCUUCAGUGCUGCAGCUAACGCAUUAAGCAUUCCGCCUGGGGAGUACGGCCGCAAGGCUGAAACUCAAAGGAAUUGACGGGGGCCCGCACAAGCGGUGGAGCAUGUGGUUUAAUUCGAAGCUACGCGAAGAACCUUACCAGGUCUUGACAUACUAUGCAAAUCUAAGAGAUUAGACGUUCCCUUCGGGGACAUGGAUACAGGUGGUGCAUGGUUGUCGUCAGCUCGUGUCGUGAGAUGUUGGGUUAAGUCCCGCAACGAGCGCAACCCUUAUUAUCAGUUGCCAGCAUUAAGUUGGGCACUCUGGUGAGACUGCCGGUGACAAACCGGAGGAAGGUGGGGAUGACGUCAAAUCAUCAUGCCCCUUAUGACCUGGGCUACACACGUGCUACAAUGGAUGGUACAACGAGUUGCGAACUCGCGAGAGUAAGCUAAUCUCUUAAAGCCAUUCUCAGUUCGGAUUGUAGGCUGCAACUCGCCUACAUGAAGUCGGAAUCGCUAGUAAUCGCGGAUCAGCAUGCCGCGGUGAAUACGUUCCCGGGCCUUGUACACACCGCCCGUCACACCAUGAGAGUUUGUAACACCCAAAGUCGGUGGGGUAACCUUUUAGGAACCAGCCGCCUAAGGUGGGACAGAUGAUUAGGGUGAAGUCGU
rnacentral:rRNA from 1 species